AGCUGAAACUAGGAGCCUGGCGAUCCCGCGAGGCAGAGAUCGCCGAUCUUGUUGGGGUGUGCGCGCUGCGCUAGUCAGGGCUGGGUGGACAGUGGGGCAGGUGUACCGCAGCACAAGUCACCAGCUCCCACUGGUCACGUCUCUCUAUUGCGUCGGGCCGCCGCUGCAACCCACUCGAGCGUUCUGCGGCCCGUAGGCUUGCCGCAGCCACUGGGUCCCUCAGCGGGACCGGCUUUCGCCGAGGAAUCGCCAGCUCCCGGAGCUGCCUGCAGGGGCGGGGCCGGAGCGCGGUCCUGAGGCCUGACGUCACCCUGGAGCUUCAGUGGGUGGGAGCCGCUGCUUGCGGCUCACCUGCAGUGGGGGAGGGGAGCCUCUCGGGCUGGGCGCUAAAGCUCUGUCCUGACCGGGCUGCAACCCUGUGGCGGCCGGAGUCCCCCCUUACUGAUGCUUCCUUCCUCUCGUGACCCGCCGCAGUUGGAUGUUUGCUUGCUCUGCCUCUUAGGCAGGGCUGAGAUUCCAAAAAUACGAGAAGCAAACGGGCCUGGCAGAGAAGACCAGAGAGCGACUUCAUUUGUUCACUCACUCAUUCAUUCCAGCUCUCUAUGGAAGAGGAACUGGGUAGGGCUUGCAGGAUUCCUGUGCUGUUGUCAUAGCCCCUAGGGCUAAAGAACCAGUGGUUCAAGUGCCUUAGAAAGGUUCAUGGACCUCAGGUGGGAGUGGGCUUCCAAAAUAAGGAAACUGGAAAAUUGAAGUUAAAAAAAAAAUGUAAUGAAAUGUCUGCAGAAUCUAGUCAACUCUUAAUUAUACAUGUAUAAAUAUAAUAAAGUAAAAAAAUCACAAGAGCCAAAUGGAUUAUUGUUCUUAUAAAAAGAUAAAUAUAAAAUACUUUAUUUUAAAACU
rnacentral:lncRNA from 1 species